rnacentral:rRNA from 1 species
UACAGGGGGGGCAAGCGUUGUUCGGAAUUACUGGGCGUAAAGGGUCUGUAGGUGGCCAACUAAGUCAGACGUGAAAUCCCUCAGCUUAACUGGGGAACUGCGUCUGAUGCUGGAUGGCUCGAGUGUGGGAGAGGAAUGCGGAAUUCCAGGUGUAGCGGUGAAAUGCGUAGAUAUCUGGAGGAACACCGGUGGCGAAGGCGGCAUUCUGGACCAUAACUGACACUGAGAGACGAAAGCCAGGGGAGCAAACGGG